rnacentral:rRNA from 1 species
CCGACGUUCUACAUCGUCCGCCUGGAGGCAAUCACCGUGGCCGGGAGGCGGCUCGACGUGCCGCCGGCUACGUUCGCCGGUGGUGCGGUGAUGGACUCAGGGGCGGUCGUCACGCAGCUGCCACCGUCGGCAUACGCAGCGCUGCGGGCAGCGUUCAGGAGCGCCAUGACGGCGUAUGGCCCGCUUGCGGAUCCCGUACGCAACCUUGACACGUGCUAUGACUUGACCCGCUUCCCCGAGGUCAAUGUCCCCAAGGUGUCCCUAGUGUUCGCAGGCGGUGCCACCUUGGAGCUCGAGCCGGCGUCCAUCAUGCUGGACGGCUGCCUGGCUUUCACGGCCUCCCCUGGCGGCCACGGCUCCAUCGGAUUCAUCGGCAACGUGCAGCAGCAGACCUACGAGGUUUUGUACGACGUCGGCAGCGGGAGCGUGGGAUUCCGCAGUGGCGCGUGCUGA